UGGGCUAUAGCCAAGCGGUAAGGCACAGGACUUUGACUCCUGCAUUCGUUGGUUCGAAUCCAACUAGUCCAG
rfam:Eubacterium ruminantium strain ATCC 17233 genome assembly, contig: EI46DRAFT_scaffold00001.1